GGGCGGGGCCGGGGCGGGGAGUCGGAGGGCUGAGGGGACGCGGGCCAGGCCGGGGGUCCUGGGCAGGUCUGGAGCCCGAUAUGAUGGCCGCUGCGGACUUGUGUACAGUCAGGCGUGGUGGUCGUGCCCUUUCGUGUCCUCAGGUGGCUACUGUGACCCUCACCUCUCCUGCAUGCCCGGGUCGGACCAGUUCCGUCGGAUACGGUGACGUGGAGAGGGCACCUGGUCUCUCCGGCUCGGGUCUUCGUCUAGUGGGUGACACGUUAAUCAGCGUGCAGUUACCGUGGUCCUGAGGGAUGAAGGCCAAGGAACUUGGCGUAGACUGGAAGGCUUCCUGGAGGAGAAAGGGGAAACUGGAGACAGACAAGCACACAGGGAGAACGAUCAUGAACACGGAUGGCCAUCUGCAAGCUUAGGAGAGCGGCCUGGAGCAGACUCACUCCCUCAACGGCUCUGGGGGAAGCAGCCUCUGACACCGUGAUCCUGGACUUCUGGAUUCCAGAGCAGUGGGGAGAUAAAUUUGUGUUGUUUAAGCCGCCAGGUUUAUUUAUGGUACUUGUUUGGGCAGCCCCAGGAACAAAUACGGGGAGGGGGCCUGACACUGUUCCGGGAAAUGAAGAAAAGUGCCCUGUGGCUAGAGCCCAGGGGCCCAGGGGGAGCAGGGUCCUCUGGGUGGCUCCACUGGGUCCCAGUGGGGGAUGCAAGGGAGGAUUUAAGGUGGAAGAGUUUCGCGUAAGGUUUGUGUUUUUAGAAAACUGCUUUGGCUGUUGCAGAACAGGUUAGCAGGGAGCCAGGCAGUCGCCACAUGAGGCCGUUGCGAAGGCCGUGCUCUGGCUGAGAUGAGUUCCUGGAAUAGGCGCUAGAGGGGGCUGCAACCCAGACCUGCCGACAGGCCACUCACUGAGUACACGAUCACUGCCUCAGCAUCUGUUCUGUGUGGCCCGCUGCCUGCGGGGCCUUGAACUGACAGGAGCCCUCCCGCGAGUGCGUGACCUAGAUGACAGCCCGCAGAGUCACCAGUAAACCGAAGUUCCUGAUGUGACCCCCCCGCCCAACACCCUUGUGAUAACCUCUCUCCCUGUGGGCCCCAUAGAUUAAACCCCUGUGAAGCUCACCAAAACCCUGCUCCCUCUGGUUUGAACUGACCUAUCCAGCCUUAGCCCAGGAACCCCAAAGCACAGCCCUGUGGACCUAAUACAGGUGUGCGCCCCGGGUCCCGACUCCUGGGCACUCUGCCUGUACCUCCUCCAGGACCUGUGAGUCGUAAGCUUCCCUGUUCCGCUGUUUCUUGAGGUCUUUGUUGAACCACCAGGCAGCCUGGCCACAUGCCUUCUGACAUUGCAGGCAGCACCCACAGGGAUGGAGUGACAGCCGGGGCAGCACCGGGAGAAUGGAGCAGACAGGAAGGGCAUUGCAAGGGAUGGGGAAAUAAAACUAUCAUUGGAACCACAGGCCAUAAAAGUAGGCUGGAAUUUAUACACUAAACCUAAAUUGGAUGACUUUCUGCUGAAAUAGAAGAUUAAUUUUUUGUUUGAUGUGGACCAUUUUUUAAAGUUUUUAUUGAAUUUGUUACAAUAUUGCUUCUUCUUUUUUUUUUUUUUAAUAUAUU